rnacentral:rRNA from 1 species
UACGUAGGCAGCAAGCGUUGUUCGGAGUUACUGGGCGUAAAGGGUGCGUAGGCGGCUUUUUAAGUUUGGUGUGAAAUCUCCCGGCUCAACUGGGAGGGUGCGCCGAAUACUGAGAGGCUAGAGUGUGGGAGAGGAAAGUGGAAUUCCUGGUGUAGCGGUGAAAUGCGUAGAUAUCAGGAGGAACACCGGUGGUGUAAACGGCUUUCUGGACCAUAACUGACGCUGAGGCACGAAGGCCAGGGGAGCAAACGGG